UACGUAGGCAGCAAGCGUUGUUCGGAGUUACUGGGCGUAAAGGGUGUGUAGGCGGUCUUCUAAGUUUGGUGUGAAAUCUCCCGGCUCAACUGGGAGGGUGCGCCGAAAACUGGGAGGCUAGAGUGCGGGAUGGGAGAGUGGAAUUCCUGGUGUGGCGGUGAAAUGCGUAGAUAUCAGGAGGAACACCUGUGGUGUAGACGGCUCUCUGGACCGCAACUGACGCUGAGACACGAAAGCGUGGGUAGCAAACAGG
rnacentral:rRNA from 1 species